UCCCAGCUAUAGGGCCCGUAAGUCUCGUUUACUUUCACUUUCGAUUUACCACUUCCGGGUACAUCGGCAGACUUAUUUACCGUUACGCAUAUAGGUAACCCGAAGAACUCGAGAGAUAUAGAAGUUAAAUUUGUUUCGGUCCUCUUCAGAUUUAAAGGAAUGGAAAGCACGGGUCAAAAAAUGCAGAUGUGUAGACAGGGAGGUAUAUGACAAGUAUAGAAUAUACAGUUGUUCACUAUGGACCAUUAAUCAACUGUUUGCACUGCCUAUGAUCCUGAAAUAUCUAUAUAUCAAAGGUAAA